rnacentral:lncRNA from 1 species
GUAAGAGAGUGCAUAAAUUUUAGGGUUUGUUGUUGUGAACUUGUGUGGUGGUGGGGCAUUGGCAAAGUGUUGCAAAAAUUAAUAGUGUUGUGAGAACAUUGUCCCAAUUGGGUUAAAGUUGAAUGAUCAUUGCCACAAUUUUCUCCAAUGCAAUAUAUGCUAUGUGCCAAAAAAAAAAAAAAAAAAAAAACUGCAGCAUAUAUUAUACGACGCAACAUACACAUAACAUUUAGCAAACGUACGAUAAUAAAAUCACUUCCAAGUCAAAAUAGUUAGGAGAAGAACGUAAGCAAAAUAAGGCCGUUAAGGUAUGCCAUGCAUCCUGGCCACUCUAUACGACACCGUGACCCUCCUCCAUGCAAAUUAUACAGCGGCGGGGCUUUCUAAAAUCGCAGAUAUAAAAAAAGUUAUGUAAUCAAAAUUUUCAUAUUCAGAAUGAAUCAUUGAGAAAAACACAUAGCAUAUUGUGUGUAUUACCUGGAGAACGGUUUCUGAAGUGGCUAUUUGUAUUCUGCAGUCUGGCUUUGAAAGAGGAAUGAGGUUGAAAUAUGGAGGGUGUCUGAUUUGUGAGGGCCUUGAUAUUUAUACCUCACACUCUAGAAUACAUCAAAAUCAAUCCAUUUAUUGAUUCCAAUAAAUUCCCUGACUUUUUGAGUACUCUCAGAUUUAGAAAGUCACUCUAGAAAUCUGGAUUAAAUACCACCAGAUUUUGAAGGACUCUUUAUACAUCUUAAUUGAAUGCAACCUGCAUUUCACUGAUUCAAUUAAAAUCUUAAUUGAAUGCCCAUGAAUUUUCAAACUCCUUUAAAGUCUCAUAUAAUCCUAAUUCAAUACAACCUCCUAAGAUAAUUUUCCAGAUUCAUAUAACUUUUUUAGAUACAGUCACAGUGCCGCAUUUAUUUGUGGUUAUGAAAAUAAGUUAAGUUGUUUUAAAUGUUUGUCUUUUGAUUUUCGUGUGCCUUCUUUUUGAUAAUCAUUUCAACGGCUCAUGUUGUUUCAGGUUCCAAAAAUCUAUGUCUCUCGAUAUUGCUAUCGUGUCCCCUUAGAUAUAUCCCGAGAGUAUACUAAUGAUCAAAUUAUUAAAGGUGUGACAGAAAAAGAAGCUUUGAAGGCACCAAUCAAAGAUCAUCCACCUUAUUUUGUGCUCGGAUUAUCACGUAAAGUGGUGGAUGAGUUCACGCCCAAGAAAUCUACUCUAUUUUUAGAAGGUAUUUUUCUUUUGUGUUAAUUAAUCUUUUGAUUUAUAUGUUAAGUUAUCAAAAUUUGUGUGUUGUUUUGUGUUAAUAAGAUCAUAAUGUUUUCUGUAUGAAAAUUUAUGAUCUUAUUAACACAAAACAAACACACAAAUUUUGAUAACUUAAAUAUAUAAAUGAAAGAGUUAAUUAACGCAAACGAAAAAUACCUUGCAAAAAAAAAAAGAGUAGAUUUCUGGGACAUGAAUUCAAUCACCACCUUACGUGAUGAUCCGAGCACAAAAUAAGUUGGACGAUCUUUGAUUGGUGCUUUCAAAGCUUCUUCUGUCACACCUUUAAGAAUUUAAUCAUUAGUAUACUCACAGGAUAUAUCUAAGGGGACAUGAUAGCAAUAUCAAGAAACAUAGAUUUUUGGAACCUGAAGCAACAAUUGAAACAACAUGAGCCGUUGAAACGAUUAUUAGAAAGAAGGCACACGAAAAUCAAAAGACAAACAUUUAAAAUAACUCAACUUAUUUUCAUAACCACAAAUAAAAGCGGCACUGUGACCGUAUCUAAAAACGUUUAUGAAUCUGGAAAAUCAAAUUAAGGCCGUUAAGGUCUGCCAUGCAUCCUAGCCACUCAGGCUUAGAGAUGUAAAAACCAUUUCACAUCUCACUAUAAUACUGUGGUUGUUUGCUACGGAGCUCCAGCUCCAAGGCUUUUGUGUCUACAUCCGGCAUGCAUCUUGGCCACCUGGGAAUGAGCUGUGCUCUUGUCAUUCUAGCAGGUAUAUUAGAAUGGACGCCCGAGUCUAUCCGCUCACAACAGCAAUAACAGACUAUUUCAGCCAAAUCGCUAACAGCCGUCUCUGGUGGGCAAAACCACGUCAACGGGCAGCUCAUAUAACUGUGACCCUCCUCCAUGCAAAUUGAACAGCGGAGGGGUUCUUCAACAAAAUCUGCAACCAAACCAAAAAAAUAAAAUAAAAAGUUCCUAGUUACUUCAGUAAAAUACCCUAAAAAAUUUUAGCAGCAAAUAUGCAAAGAUUCAGUCUUAACGGAUACCAAAGCAAAAUAACAAUCUGCAACCAGAAACUGAAGACCAAGAGAACAGCAAUUCUACUGCCUACAAUGGGCUUUUGUUUUAAUUCCCUUGGGAAAGGUACAAAGUUACUAGUUACUUGAUAUCGUUGCCUAUUGCCUCUUUCUUUCUGGUUGCAUCAAUUGAUAAAUUGCUUGUUACUUGAAUAAAUCACACAUAAUUUUUUAAGCAACUAAAUUCAUUCCCAGAAGAACUACACAUGGAUAGUCUAGACAGCUAACAAUCCCCAGAAAUAGAAACUUACAACAAGAAAAAUCCGUACCAGUAGGUUCAUCUUCUGCCUCAACAAGCGGUGAUUGUUUAGUUGGCUGCAGUGCUUGAUCAUCAUCCAGCGCCAUGGGAUCUGUCUUGUGUAAAAUCGAGAAAGAGAUUGUAAGAAUAUUAGGGUUUGUUGUAGUGAACUUGUGGUCGUGGGAAACUAGGAAUUGGGAAUUGGGAGGUAGCGUGCCUAAACAUUUAUUCUUCAACCCCCAGUUUCCGGCACACAAAAAAAAAAACACAAAAAGCAAAAGCAUACAUACAUACCAGGUUUAGGUUUCUCCUCCUUCACAUCUUCGGCCUCUCCAAGCUGUGGUUGUUUGGUAUGGAGCUCCAGCUCCAAGGCUUUUGUGUCUACAUCUGGCAUGCAUCUUGGCCACCUGGGAAUGAGCUGUGCUCUUGUCAUUCUAGCAGGUAUAUUAGAAUGGACGCCCGAGUCUAUCCGCUCACAACAGCAAUAACAGACUAUUUCAGCCAAAUCGCUAACAGCCGUCUCUGGUGGGCAAAACCACGUCAAUGGGCAGCUCAUAUAACUGUGACCCUCCUCCAUGCAAAUUGAACAGCGGAGGGGCUCUUCAACAAAAUCUGCAACCAAACCAAAAAAAUAAAAUAAAAAGUUCCUAGUUACUUCAGUAAAAUACCCUAAAAAAUUUUAGCAGCAAAUAUCCAAAGAUUCAGUUUUAACGGGUACCAAAGCAAAUUAAGAAUUUUCAACGGUUUAUUAUAAAGGUG